rnacentral:rRNA from 1 species
UCCUGCCAGUAGUCAUAUGCUUGUCUCAAAGAUUAAGCCAUGCAAGUCUAAGUAUAAUUGUUUUACGGUGAAACUGCGAAUGGCUCAUUAAAUCAGUUAUAGUUUAUUUGAUGCUAUAGACCGCAAGGUCACUACAUGGAUAUCUGUAGUAACAUAGAGCUAAUACAUGCAAUAUAGUCUGACUUUUUGGAAGGACUAGCACUUAUUAGAUAUUAAACCAGUCCCAGCAAUGGGUUUUAUGGUGAUUCAUAGUAACUGAACAAAUCACAUGGUCUCGUACCGGUGAUGUUUCACUCAAAUUUCUGCCCUAUCAACUAGAUGGUAGUAUAUAGGACUACCAUGGUUGUAACGGGUAACGGAGGAUUAGGGUUUGAUUCCGGAGAAGGAGCAUGAGAAACGGCUACUAUUUCUAAGGAAAGCAGCAGGC